rnacentral:rRNA from 1 species
AUUGAACGCUGGCGGCGGGCCUAACACAUGCAAGUCGAGCGCGCGGCGGACGGGUGAGUAAUGUCUGGGAAACUGCCUGAUGGCGGGGGAUAACUACUGGAAACGGUAGCUAAUACCGCAUACCCUCAGAUGUGCCCAGAUGGGAUUAGCGAGUAGGUGGGGUAAUGGCUCACCUAGGCGACGAUCCCUAGCUGGUCUGAGAGGAUGACCAGCCAACCUGGAACUGAGACACGGUCCAGACUCCUACGGGAGGCAGCAGUGGGGAAUAGUGCACAAUGGGCGCAAGCCUGAUGCAGCCAUGCCGCGUGUAUGAAGAAGGCCUUCGGGUUGUAAAGUACUUUCAGCGAGGAGGCGUUACCGACAGAAGAAGCACCGGCUAACUCCGUGCCAGCCGCCGCGGUAAUUC